rnacentral:rRNA from 1 species
AUUGAACGCUGGCGGCAGGCCUAACACAUGCAAGUCGAACGGAGUGGCGGACGGGUGAGUAAUGUCUGGGAAACUGCCUGGUAGUGGGGGAUAACGUCCGGAAACGGGCGCUAAUACCGCAUACUAUCAGAUGAGCCUAGGUCGGAUUAGCUAGUUGGUGGGGUAAAGGCCUACCAAGGCGACGAUCCGUAACUGGUCUGAGAGGUUGAUCAGUCACACUGGAACUGAGACAGGGUCCAGACUCCUACGGGAGGCAGCAGUGGGGAAUAUGGGACAAUGGGCGCAAGCCUGAUGCAGCCAUGCCGCGUGUAUGAAGAAGGCCUUCGGGUUGUAAAGUACUUUCAGCGGGGAGGCGUUACCCGCUGAAGAAGCACCGGCUAACUCCGUGCCAGCAGCCGCGGUAAUUC